GUGGGGAAUCUUGCGCAAUGGGCGAAAGCCUGACGCAGCCAUGCCGCGUGGAUGAUGAAGGUCUUAGGAUUGUAAAAUCCUUUCACCGGUGAAGAUAAUGACUGUAGCCGGAGAAGAAGCCCCGGCUAACUUCGUGCCAGCAGCCGCGGUAAUACGAAGGGGGCUAGCGUUGCUCGGAUUUACUGGGCGUAAAGGGCGCGUAGGCGGACAUUUAAGUCAGGGGUGAAAUCACGGGGCUCCACCUCGGAACUGCCUUUGAUACUGGGUGUCUUGAGUACGGGAGAGGUAAGUGGAAGUCCGAGUGUAGGGGUGAAAUUCGUAGAUAAUCGGAAGAACACCAGUGGCGAAGGCGACUCACUGGCCCGUUACUGACGCUGAGGCGCGAAAGCGUGGGGAGCAAACAGGAUUAGAAACCCCUGUAGUCC
rnacentral:rRNA from 1 species